GGCUCGAUGGCGGAAGGUCGGCGCCUGUGUUUCAUCUCGGAUGGACUAAUUCAUCGCAGGAGGUGCCCGUUCGACUCGGGCUCGAGCCA